rnacentral:rRNA from 1 species
GGGGGGUGCUAAUACAUGCAAGUCGAGCGAAUGGAUUAAGAGCUUGCUCUUAUGAAGUUAGCGGCGGACGGGUGAGUAACACGUGGGUAACCUGGCCAUAAGAUUGGGAUAACUCCGGGAAACCGGGGCUAAAACCGAAUAACUUUUUGUUCUGCAUGGUUCGUUAUUGAAAGGCGGCUUCGGCUGUCACUUAUGGAUGGACCCGCGUCGCAUUAGCUAGUUGGUGAGGUAACGGCUCACCAAGGCAACGAUGCGUAGCCGACCUGAGAGGGUGAUCGGCCACACUGGGACUGAGACACGGCCCAGACUCCUACGGGAGGCAGCAGUAGGGAAUCUUCCGCAAUGGACGAAAGUCUGACGGAGCAACGCCGCGUGAGUGAUGAAGGCUUUCGGGUCGUAAAACUCUGUUGUUAGGGAAGAACAAGUGCUAGUUGAAUAAGCUGGCACCUUGACGGUACCUAACCAAAAAGCCACGGCUAACUACGUGCCAGCAGCCGCGGUAAUACGUAGGUGGCAAGCGUUAUCCGGAAUUAUUGGGCGUAAAGCGCGCGCAGGUGGUUUCUUAAGUCUGAUGUGAAAGCCCACGGCUCAACCGUGGAGGGUCAUUGGAAACUGGGAGACUUGAGUGCAGAAGAGGAAAGUGGAACUCCAUGUGUAGCGGUGAAAUGCGUAGAGAUAUGGAGGAACACCAGUGGCGAAGGCGACUUUCUGGUCUGUAACUGACACUGAGGCGCGAAAGCGUGAGGGAGCAAACAGGAUUAAAUACCUUGGUAGUCCACGCCGUAAACGAUGAGUGCUGAUUGUUAGAGGUUUCCGCCCCUUUAGUGCUGAAGUAACUUAUCAAUCACUCCGCCUGCGGAGUACGGCCGCAGGCUGAUACUCAAAGGAAUUGAACGGCGCCCCGCACCAGCGGAGGAACAGGUGUUUAUUUCUAAUCAUGACGAAGAAACUUUACCAUGUCUGGGCUUCUAUGAAAAACCUAAGAGAUAUGUUUUCUUCUUCACAGCAAGAGGACAGGUUGUUUGCUUGGUUGUCUAUCUGUCUCCUCGUCCUAGAAGAUCGUUAGUGUUUAAGUCUCCAAAAACGUCCGCACACCUUGGACCC